GGUUUCAAGCCCGCCCUUUCAAAGCCGGAGCUCUGAAGACCCCAUUUUAGGAAAGUGGGAGUAAUGAUAUGGAGGCAGAAAUGCAAGAAAGGAAAGAAGCAGUCUGAGUCUUUUUUUGAUGGUGUGUUGACAGUCUUACCCCAGAUCAUCAGGGAGAACAUGCUGGUGAUAUCAAGUUAAACUCUGCAGUGAACUGCAUUCAAGCAUCAGUUUGUGUGUCCCUCCUCCCUCUUCAAGAAGAUCUACUGCAUGGUUGAAAGGAUGAGAAUAAGGAGACCAACUGGAUGAGGACCAAGUGAAUUCUCAAACCUAAGAUGAGGAAUGGCUUCCCUGAAGCUUGUAAUGUAGUCAACUUGAUUAUCAUGAACUAUUCUUGAGAAGAUUGAGCUAUUCAUUGAAGAACUGAUUCUAAUCUGCUGACUAAUGUUUUGGCUGAUGUUCUGCAGUGCUUUUUGAUUAAGAAAAUUGCUUGGUAACCAUUUCAGCGUGUUGCAUCCUUUUCCUGGCAAUAACCUGUGAAAUGCAAGUGUUGCUGUUGGAGUUGUAUCUUAGAUUAUCUGCAUGUUCCAUAUUUAAGCAUUCUAUGUAGCACGAUCCCCUGCCAUAUGCAAUAUAAUACUAAGAGGAUAAAUAUUUAUUUUGACCUUUUUUUUUUGCCAAGGAUUCACAUCAUCUAGAUUCUUUCUAUGUAGUCAAGAUGGGGCAGAGAUUAAAGUGAGAAAAUCAGUAAA